CCAAAAUGCAGAGAGGCAAGGUUUAUUUUCCUGGAGGUCCUAUAUUGCAGCUGGUGCUAUUUUGUUAUGUCAAAUUGUGUAUUUUUCCAGCUUCCCUUCCUCAUGUAUGAGCUUGUCUAUGGUGGGAUGGGGAUUCGGAGGAUAAAUGUUAUGGCAGUAAGGAGGUCAAGCGUGAGACGUCACAUGUCAAGGGGAUUUACUAUUUAGUCUCUUCUAAUCAGGUGAAGAGAUACUGCUGGUUUAAACGGAAUCCAUACUUUAACAUGAUUUCUCCCAAUUCAACAAAGUCAGGUACUACUCAUGUUCUUUCAUGCUAUGGAGCUACUCGAGGCAGCAGAACAUUAUCCCACACGGAGAUGGGGAUGGCCAUGCCCGUGCUGAUGCCGUCGGCCGUCGGUGAGAGCAUCACCGUCAACAACGGCUCCAGCGACCUCUCCAGGAGCUUCUCCAUGAGCUCCUCGGGUGACACCAACUCCAACAUCAUGUUCUUCACGCCCGGAAGCAAAAAAGCGAAGGUGCUCAUCGACAGCGACGAUGGCAUGGUCACCAGCCUCAGCAAAAUCGAAUCCCAAUUUGGCAUGUCAACCACGUCUUUAGACAUGUCCGGCAUGGACGACUAUCUGCAACUGCAGCAAUACUUCAUCGCCUACACAGUCUGCACCAAGCGUGGCUGCGCCACUCACCCACGAAGCAUCGCUGAGAGGAUUAGAAAGAAGAGCAAGGAAUAGCAAGAGGCUAAGGAGGCUGCAAGACCUCGUGCCCAAUAUGGACAAGGUAACUAAAUCAGUUGAAUUGAUGCACACUGUCAAUUCUGUCACCAUAAAGUUGGGUGCCAUCUGGCAUCUGCAGAGUAUCAAAGCUUCUUCUAGAUCAAAGAAAGCUAAUCCAGAAUCAACCAUAGUCAAUGCAAGAAGGUUAUACAGGGCAGAUGAUAUUUCAUCAGAGAGGUAUACUACAGUGAAAAUAUAAUAAGUGUGCCAGUUUGUGAUGGUUGAGGGGAAAUGUGAGGUUAUAGCAAAGAAUGACAUUCCAAAUUCAAAUCUUCCGGUAGUGGUUGAGCAUGCCUUUUACUGUGAACAUUUAUAUGAUCCUGAUGCUGGAGCUCUUAAGCAGCUACCGACAAAUGUUAAGCUCAUGACCUUGACAAGGAAGGCGCAUGCUGCAAAAAAGAAUGAAGGCAAGUAGAUUUGUGACGAUGAGCAAGCUGGUUCAGACAAACAGAACGCAACACCAGAGAACUGUCUUGCAACCCUUGAUAUUUUUGCUGGCUGUGGAGGUUUGUCUGAAGGGUAGUAGCUAUCUGUACUGGCGCACCAUGUACAAAUUGGGCAAUUGGAUAUGAAGAACCUGCCAGGCAAGCAUUUGGUGAAAAUCAUCCAGAGGCAGUGGCAUUAGUGGAGAACUGCAAUGUGAUUCUAAAGUUGUGGUCAGGGAGGCAAAGCGAAGGGCAACCUCCGGAGUGUCG